GAUGAACGCUAGCGGCAGGCCUAGCACAUGCAAGUCGAGGGGUAGAAGUUGCUUGCAACUUUGAGACCGGCGCACGGGUGCGUAACGCGUAUGCAAUCUGCCUUGUACUGAGGGAUAGCCCAGAGAAAUUUGGAUUAAUACCUCAUAGCAUUAUGAUGUGGCAUCACAUUAUAAUUAAAGUUCCAACGGUACAAGAUGAGCAUGCGUCCCAUUAGUUAGUUGGUAAGGUAACGGCUUACCAAGACGAUGAUGGGUAGGGGUCCUGAGAGGGAGAUCCCCCACACUGGUACUGAGACACGGACCAGACUCCUACGGGAGGCAGCAGUGAGGAAUAUUGGUCAAUGGGCGCAAGCCUGAACCAGCCAUGCCGCGUGCAGGAUGACGCAUCUAUGGUGUGUAAACUGCUUUUGUACAGGAAGAAACACUCCCUCGUGAGGGAGCUUGACGGUACUGUAAGAAUAAGGAUCGGCUAACUCCGUGCCAGCCGCCGCCGUAA
rnacentral:rRNA from 1 species